AGGGCGGUGGUGGAGCCCAGGACCGGACUGUGGGACUACAGCUGAAGGUUAGGGGCCCUGAUGAGAAAUGAGGACAUCAAGGAGUGACAGACAUUAAAGUUGCUGUGCGAAUGAAACGGGAGGACUUUGGGCGCUGGUGGGAUGAUUUGGAGUAGGAGCCCGGGGCGGUUUACGGCUGCACGCUGCCACCCUCUCCCCGGUUUUUUAAAGGCGGAGAGGGCGAGGAAGGAAAGGAACCUCUCUUCGAGGCUCUUCGGUAGUGACACAAGAACAGCUGAGGAAAAGGCUCGGGAGGGGCGAGCCGCCUCCUGCGGAGCCUAUCCCAACCCCCACCUCCCCAUCCUCAUCCGCUGGCUCCCGGCGUCUUUAGGUCGGGGGCCUGGGCUGUGGCGCCUUAAGAGGCGGCUCAGCAGAGGGCUUGGGGGAGGAGGGGGUGCGAUUUUGCAUUGAAGGUCACCGUGUCCUGCAGCUCGGAGGCCUGAUAAUUGGGGCAGACAAACCAGUCACUGUGUGCACCAGCUGCUCUCCCGGCCCCGGGCUGCGGCCCCAGGGGGACUGGGCUGGUGUGGGGCCAGAGGCCUCCCACAAAGUCGCUCCUGGGAACCUAAGGGCUGUGCCGUCCAGGCUGGGAGACAGUACCCCUUCCGCCCCCUCCAGCCCAAGAGCCGAGAGCGGGACGUGAGGGCGGAAGUCCCUCCCUAUCCUGGGACGUGCAGGCUGGCCUGGGAGCCAGGGACUCUCCUUCACUGAUUGCUCACCCAGUGGAUGAUGGGGGCAGGUCUUGUGCUCCUGUUCUUCCCGAAGAACUCGACGGCGACACAGCUCUCCACUCACUGCCUGCUCCAAAUGGACCAGCUGCUGCAGAGCCACAUCCCCAGCCAAGGACAGCAGGUUCAUCAGCAGGAAAAGGGAUUAUUGGCUAGAAAACUGGCCAGCAGCUGGAUGGCAUUUUUACACACCAGCACCGACUUGUCUGCCAGCCGUUCCACUGCCAACGCCACCACUGUCUGGA